CACCGGCAUUGCUUUUGGAACAACCUACAUAUUUAAUGAGUUACAAAGUGGAGCUGAGACCUUUGAACCCGAUUUUUCUCUCAGCUCCAACAGGUAAAAGAUUGUCCUUACAGUGUUCGGGUCUGCACUGAAGAGCUGAAAACAAGGCUCAUGGGGAACUGCUGGCUGAAAUACAAGGUUGUGGCUUUAAAAGGAAAAGUGAAUGUAUCAAGAUGAAACAGUUUGUGAGGAGGUGAAAAAGGCAGGGAAAGCUCGUUAUCACACUGCAGAAACCAUAAUCUGCUGUCCUCACACCAAGAUCAUAGGGGUGCUGAACUAGAGGAUGACACAUCCCAUCUUGUGGCUUGAUGUGUCCACUACCAGCUUGUUGCUCCUCCCUUGAGGGGAAAGAGGGAGCAGGAUGAAUGAAAGAACAAAGAAAAU
rnacentral:lncRNA from 1 species